ensembl:lncRNA
GCUUAGCUCAGGAGGUAGAGCUGUUGUCUUGAAACCGAAAGGUUGCUAGUUCGAUCCCUAGCUCCUCCUAGCUCAGUGCUGAAGUGUCCCUGAGCAAGAAACCUAACCCUAACUUCUCCUGACGAGCUGGCUGUCGCCUUGUAUGGUUGACUUAGCCGUCAAUGUGUGUAUCAACCGAUAAUAAACUUCCAGAGACAGUCGGCGACACUGACUGCUGGUUCUUGUUCUACAUGAAGGACUGUAUUGGGAGGAGUGGGCACUACCUGUUCGUGUCCGCUGCCAAGCCGAAAUUCGCCCUGGCCAUCGAACCGGAACAAGGGACUACCCGAAUAAACAAACUAGUGUUGCGACAAUUAGAUGAUGAGGUGGACGAGGGCUGCCACAUUGCAGUGCCUCCAGGGCGU